CAGAGGCAGGGAGGUCGAAACCCGUGUCUGGGCACGAAGUUGGAUUUAAGUCCCGGUUUAGUCUGAGAUCUACGGCUCUCUCGCCGGCAACGGCGACGGGAACGAUAGCAAGAUCGAGUCUAAGGAGAGAAAGGACCUCGGCGAGAUCCGAUGAAUGAGCCGCCGCGGGUAUGAAUGGUGCCCUCGGCGGCGGUGUAACGAGUGGAAAAGCGAAGGGUCAAUUCUCACGAAACUGGUGCGCCGUAUAAAACGUGUUUUUACGAAUUAAUAAUCGUCGGCCAAUUUCUAAUCACGCGCGGAGGGGACCUUUACUUUGAAGCUGGCCUAAAUACCGCGGGACCUUUCGAACGCGUCGGCGAACGUUCCGUGACGGAAGCAGAGAUUUUUAUUGGUUAUUUUACGAAAUGUGAAUCAGCAAGAGGACAAAAACGGUCGCAAUUAAAAUCAAAACAAUAUGGAGGAUUAAUAAAGUCCUGAUUGCCACGUUACGUUACAUAACUUACCAGGACUUGUCAGGGGUUAAUAUCAUUUUAUAUAAGCUGAAUAAUUGUUCAGAAUUAAUCUGAUUAGGACCAUAGAAUAAAUUUCUAGUUGAUCACACAAAAUUUCUACCACGUCGAGUUACAUUGCUCGACGAAAAGUGGAGCAAUGCCUAACCUAGCGAUGGAACACUAAUCCACAGCGACGUACGAAUAAUAUAAAUAAACAUAGCACAAUACAUAUGCAAUUGUGACUCACCUAUCACUCCUCCGGUCGUUCACUCGACGAGAAGUACUGAAGAUCCACGCUUCCGAGAGCAGUAUUUCGCGACGAAAUUAAAUGAAAUACACGUCUUGCGAAAGCUAUAAACCAGAUUGACGUACCAAAGAAUGUUUCUAGUGACGAAAAUCAAGUCGAGUUUACAAGCGGUUUUGCUGCUGCAUUUCUAAAAAAGAAAACAGUUUCUAUGGCAUCUUCAAGUAAGCAACGGACAAAUAGCGAGAUGAUCGAAAUGGAAAUUAAGAAUUAUUUAAAUACGUCGCUACCGGAUAUGAGUGUGGAUCCUUUGUUAUGGUGGAAAGAUCACGAAAUACAUUUUCCAAUAUUAAGCAAAACAGCAAAAAAAUAUCUCGCUGUUCAAGGAACGAGUGUAGCAUCGGAAAGAGUUUUUAGCAAGAGCGGAAAUAUAAUUACAGAGGAACGUACACGCCUAACAGGACAGCAUGCAAGUGAACUCAUUUUUCUGGCUAUGAACAAACCUUUUGUUUCUAUGCCAAAUUAAUGUUAAACUAUUAAUCAUUUAUGUCUCAAUGUUCCAAUACAUAUAUGUUAUAUGCAAAUAUAAAAUAUUAAAUUGGAUAUUA